rnacentral:rRNA from 1 species
UACGGGGGGAGCAAGCGUUGUUCGGAUUUACUGGGCGUAAAGGGCGCGUAGGCGGCCACCGCAAGUCAGUUGUGAAAUCUCUGGGCUUAACCCAGAAAGGUCAACUGAUACUGCGGGGCUAGAGUGCAGAAGGGGCAACUGGAAUCCUCGGUGUAGCGGUGAAAUGCGUAGAUAUCGAGAGGAACACCUGCGGCGAAGGCGGGUUGCUGGGCUGACACUGACGCUGAUGCGCGAAAGCUAGGGGAGCGAACAGG